CCGGAUGGAUCGACAGCAGCUCUCGGCCAAUGAGCGCACAGGAGGGCGGGGACGUCAGACUGUUCUGGGAGGCUCGAGGAUGUGGACUGGAGCUCGUGCCGCUGCGCUGAGCUUAGCUAGGUGAAAAUACGUUAAACCCGUCGUUAGCUUUAAGCUACGCGAGCUUUAUCAAGUCAUAUGCGACAGAAUAUAGAUUUAAACGCUUAUCGAGAGCGCCCAGAUUUUAUUAACUCGAGUGUGUAAAAAAAAAGGCAAAAGAUUCAUAGUUUGGACGCAGGCUAACUGGCUAAGUGAGCCGUCGGCAGCAAGACCCCACCACCCAAAGAUUGAAACGGAGAUUAAAGCCAUCAUCUAAUCUAUUAAAGAGGAUAACCAAUGUCACACACACCAAGCCUCUAAAGCAGCGACGCCAAUGAACUGACAGGUGGAGUUUAUUUCCAUUCUCCAGCACACCCUCUGGAAGCCCAUCAUUUAAUGAGUGCGUGCUAACUCUGUUUGUGAGUUUGCAUAUGGUCCGCUGAAAGAGGAGAUAACUCCACAGAGUCAGAAAAGGAAGUGUCGACAUGGCUCAAGGCACUCCCUUGAGGCCGCGCCCCCCUGAGAUUCUUGUGUAAUGCCUCCUCAUCUGCUAAUAGACAUCAGCUGGGCCUGAUACACACAAAAACACGCUUAAGGAAGUCCCUGAACUGCCCCAAGAGAGAAGUUGAACUCUUGUCCUUUGUUUUCUCUUUGAACCCCUCCUCCCACAAUCCCCACAUAAGCACCUGUACAUCCUGGGAUUCCUCCGCGCUCCAACGUUUUCAUUUCAGAAUUGCUCUACUGACCUGGAUCAAUUCCCCGGAGAUUUGUGGUGUGCGAGCAAAGUGCUGCUCUUCUCACCUGUUUUUGUCUCUGUGCAAGCUCCAUCAAGAAAGGUGUUUUUGCCGGACCAUUCUUCAAAGAGUGAGAAUUUGAUCUAAUCAGCCAUGCAGGUGUGAGCCUGUUUACUUG